CCCUUAGAUGUCCUGGGCCGCACGCGCGCUACACUGACAUGUUCAACAAGCCUCCUAGUUCGACAGGAUUUGGGAAAUCUUUGAACGCAUGUCGUGAUAGGGAUAGAUCAUUGCAAUUAUUGAUCUUGAACGAGGAAUUCCUAGUAAACGCGAGUCAUCAGCUCGCAUUGAUUACGUCCCUGCCCUUUGUACACACCGCCCGUCGCACCUACCGAUUGAAUGUUUCGGUGAAGAUUCCGGAUAGGACUUUUUUGAUUUAUUUCAAUUUUGUCUUAAAAGCUAUCUAAACCUCAACAUUUAGAGGAAGGUGAAGGCGUAACA
rnacentral:rRNA from 1 species